rnacentral:tRNA from 1 species
AUUGGCGUGGCAGAGCUGGGCAAAAUGCAA